rnacentral:rRNA from 1 species
GAUGAACGCUGGCGGCGUGCCUAAUACAUGCAAGUCGAGCGAACGGACGAGAAGCUUGCUUCUCUGAUGUUAGCGGCGGACGGGUGAGUAACACGUGGAUAACCUACCUAUAAGACUGGGAUAACUUCGGGAAACCGGAGCUAAUACCGGAUAAUAUUUUGAACCGCAUGGUUCAAAAGUGAAAGACGGUCUUGCUGUCACUUAUAGAUGGAUCCGCGCUGCAUUAGCUAGUUGGUAAGGUAACGGCUUACCAAGGCAACGAUGCAUAGCCGACCUGAGAGGUGGCCGGCCCACAGGGGAACUGAGACACGGCCCAGACUCCUACGGGGGGCGGCAGUAGGAAAUCUUCCGCAAGGGGCGAAAGCCUGACGGACCAGCGCCGCGGGAGUGAUGAAGUUCUUCGGAUCGUAAAAUUCUUUUAUUGGGAAAAAACAUUUUUGUAAGAAACUGUGCACAUCUUGCGGGUCCCUAAUAAAAAACCCACGGCUAACUCCGUG